GCUGGCUGCGGAGAACGGCCGGCUGAGAGGAAGUUGGCUGCGGCGAGGAUCGCUGGUUGCUGGCUGGCGCUGCGGGGCCUGUGGUAAUGGGACCUGGACACCUCCGGAGGUGGCGCGGCCGAGUAGGCCCCUGGCUGGGAGAGAUCGCGAGCCCCAGAGCCUUAGCGCUUCGGCGGGCUGUGGAGUGGGAAACCCAGCCGCUGCGCCUGUAGAGACCAGGUCGACAGCAUCCGUUCUUGGCCCCUGCUGGAGGCGCAGAGCUUGGCUGCCCCAAAGGAGCACCAGCCGUCGGAGGAAGCUGAGGACCCAAAGAGGGUGGACAUUGGCCCCUGACUAAGCCUUCUUGCUGUCAAAUAGGGACUUCAGAAGACACCUCCAGAACAGCAUAAAAAAGAAUAUGUAACAGUGUGUGCUGAACAUGUCUUAAUCUGGAUCUGUAACUGCAUUCUUGUUCCUGCUGAAAAUCAGAGUACACUUCUAACCAAGGCACGUCCUUGAUGGUGCUGUUAGUAAUAGGAAAGGAUAAUACUACAGAUUUGGCCGGGAGGAAAAAGAUUUAUUUCAAAGCUGAGAAGAUUUAUCUUUUGCAGAUAUGAAAAAACCAGUCAUAGCAUUAAAAAUAUAACCAUAAAAGGUGGUUGUGUUUCAUGCACAAAGAAGCCUCCCUUUUUUUUUGUGAUACUAAAAAUAGAACGCAGGGCCUCCUGGCACAUGCUAGGCAAGUGCUCUAUCACUGAGUUAUAUCCCCAGCCUUUUAAGUUUUUAUUUUGUUUUGAGAAAGGGUCUUGCUAAAUUGCCCAGGCUGACUUCCCAUUUGCAGUCCUCCUGCCUCAGCCUCCCACGUUGCUGGGAUUACAGUUGUGCACCACAUUUCCUGGCUCAGAAGGAACUGCUAUUGACUUCAAAAUAACAAUGAAGAUUUAUAAGGAUCUCAAACCCAAUAUUUAAUAAAAAGGAUUUGACAAUAGCAUGGCAGCAGUAUGAACAUCAGGCCCUUAUUUGCCCUUUUUGGUGGGGCAAUGUCUCCACUAAUGAACAUCUUACACUGACUCUUUACUCCUUCCCAUCAUUUUGAAUGUUUUAAAAAAUGUUCAGCAUAACUAAGAAAUCUAAGUAGAGAAUUGCACAUAAAUACGGGGUCUACACCAGUGACAAAAGCGUGUUUCUUCCUAAGUGUUCAUAAUCAUCUGUUCUACUCAUCCUUCUUCCUCUGGACAAUUUAGUUAGGACAACUGUAGUGUCCUUUAUUUAUUCAUUUAUUGAGGAAUCUUUUGGCCUCACUUUGAUUACAGCUUAUAAAACAUAUAAAGACACGUUUUCCAUGUAUUUACACUUAUAUACAGCACCACAACACAUGAAUACAAUAAAAGGGAGAAUAUUUAAAUUAAGUUUUAUCUAUUAAAGUUAUUUGGUAAGGUGAGGAAAUUGAAAAGAGUUGUCUGACUCAAAGGCCAUGACCAUUCAGGAUGUAUUUCGGCUUGCCCCUGCCAGGGGAGAGGUUGUUUUAACGCUCUUAGGUGAGAACUAUGUGGCACCUCAGCCUUUUCUUUAUCAUUGGCGUACACAACAGACACUUCUGAAACUCCUAACUUGAAAGUGCUUUGCAGAGCAGGGUCCAUGCAUGUCAAAUCCAGGAAUCUUGCUAGUUUGCAAGAGAAGAGAUGUCACACAAAUAGAAGCCAGCAAUCACAACAGGAAUGAAUUCCACAGUCUGUGGUUACUGAAUAUUUUAUUUCUGCUAACCUUAAAAGUCUGACUGGCCUUAUUGUGACAAUAAUUUCAUAAAGAAAAUAAAGGGUGAGAUGGAGUUAUAUCCUCAAACUUAGCUCUUUUGGUAGUUCUUUCUAACUACAGAUGCCUCUGUAUUACCUGGAUUAUGAAUCAAAGCCCAAUUUCUCUUAGCAUUGAAUUCCUAACAAAAAAACAUACCACAGUACAUCACUUACCUGGUUAAGGGAUAAGCUGUCUGAGUAAGAGUUACCCCAGUCCCAUGAUGACUGUACAUCUUUAAUCUAUUUUUUACAAAGUUCCCCUAGUUUGUUUCCUUCUGUCUUACCUCAGUGACCAGGGCAUGGAUUGACCUUAUGUUCUUGUUGCUCAGGUUCUCUGUACAAUGCGGUCCUGCACUAAGGCCACCCCAGGUAAGGAAGUAGUAAGGUCAUGCUGGUGUCCUGUGAGUGGCUCCGUGAAAUCACAAGGUCACCUUGCCUUGAGUUCAUAUUAUUUCCAUGUCUUGGUACUCCUGAAUCAGUAAGAAAAGUCCUAUUGAUAUUUGACCUACCUUGUUUCUAAGGAUAGAAUGUUUUUCACAAGGAGUAAUUCAAAUAAAAAUUUCAACAUGAGGAAGGUUACUCUUGACGUGCAAGGUUACCUGUGACUGGGUUUGUUCUUAUUGCUUCUCUAAUCUAUUGGCUGGCACUGCUCCCACGUGCAGCUACUCUUCAUCUUUUGUAUGAAGAUAAUAUUUCAAAUUAUGAUAAUAUUUUAAAUUAUAAACAUUGAUGCUAUAUGCUUCCAUAUAUAAAAACUUUGACCAUAUAUGAAAACUUUCUGGAGAUACUGUGUCU
ensembl:lincRNA